rnacentral:lncRNA from 1 species
CACCAUCACGAAAGCUGAGUUGCUGUUGAUUAGGAAAAGGAAAAUGUGUUCAAUGAGUGUUGAGUUUGGUGUUGUCUUCUUCAGAUUCUACUUUCCAUCACUUCUUCAUUUCACAUUUGAUUAGUGGAGAAUGGAGAUUCACUCACCAAAGGUAACUGCUUUUACUAUCAACUUUUUUAGGGCAUGUUUGGUGGGUUCAUCAAGAAAUUAAAAUCUUCUAUUUGAAAUAUUUGAAUUAAAAUUAUUUUUAUUUACUACUUCAAACUCAUUUUACCUAUUUUAACUCAUUAAUAAUUAAUUUUAAUUAUAUUUAAUUUUCUUUUAUAUUUUCCAUAGAACAACCAUACAUGUUUUAUUUGGAGUUUUUUUUUUUCUCUUCUUGAUAUUUUCCAGAAACCAAACAUAACCUAAAACUAUAUUUGGUUAAUAGGAUUCUAUAACAUGAUUUUUUAAAGUAGCAUAUCUAAUGGAAUAUAUUAUAUUAUAUUAUGUUUAUUUUUAAUUUGUGAAAUAAAUAAAUAAAAAUUAUGAAAUGUAUAUUAUUUUUAAUAUUUAAAAUAAAAAUUACAUCAAAUUCUAAUAUUUUCUAUUUUUAAAAAAUGAAAAUUUUCUUAUAUUUAAUAAUAUUUAUGAUUAAAAUGUUUAAACUUUAUAAAUAAAUUUUUUAUAUUAUGUUAUUUAAUAUAUAAAAAUAAUUUAUAUAUUAGAUGUUAAUAUUAGUUUAUAACUUUUUUUAGUUUUUUAAUCAUAAUUUAAUUCAUAAUAAAAAAUUAUUUUUCAAAAUGAGUGCAUAAAAAAAUUUAAAAAAAUAAAUUGAUAAAAAAAAAAAUUUAUAAUACAUAGAACUUACAUAUCUGAUAUCCCCAUCUUAUCCAAUGUUAUGUUGUACCUGACCAGUUAAAUAUUGCCUAUGCCUUUAUUGGUUUUUAAUUUCAUCAAUUAACAAUUCUAUAAAUAUAUUUUUUAAUAAAAAAUUAUUUUUAAUAAACAUUGGAUAUAGUUUUUUAAAGUGUUUUUCAACAUGGAACACCAAUCAGGGUGCCAACCAUGCGCUUAAAUUUAAAACAAUAUCCAUGGUUAAAUCGAGCUGACAAAUUUUAUGAAUAACAGUUGCAUCGGUCUGCGCUCAUGUGAAAUUCCAGCUCAUGUUAAUAGGUACAUGCGUAAGAGGAGCCUGGAUCCUAUGCUCCUUUGACACAUCAUAAGCAAUCUCUAACCAUCAUCAUGGCCGUUCAAAUGUUGAAAUAUAGAUGGGACCCCAUUCAGCAACGCGCUUGAUCUAAGUGAUUCCACUCGCUAUCCAUCAAUCCGUGCUUGGAUGUUUGACCGGAUCACAGUUGUACGUGUUGACUUCAAUAAUAGGGUGACGCAGAGAGACACGCGUGAAGUAGGUGAGUGGAGGCCAUGUUCUAUUAUUACGAAAGGUGGGCCACACCCACUUUGUCACGUAGUUCAUAAUGACAGCAACUUUGUCAAUGAUAUUAUUAAUAAUGAUAGUAUACAAAAAGUAGUGGUGAUCACUGUGGAUACUCCUUUGUCAAUAAUUUCCAUUUUUUUUUACACCUUUUAACCUUUUAUUCC